CCCUUAGAUGUUCUGGGCCGCACGCGCGCUACACUGACAGAGCCAGCGAGUUUUUUUCCUUGGCCGGAAGGUCUGGGUAAUCUUGUGAAACUCUGUCGUGCUGGGGAUAGAGCAUUGCAAUUAUUGCUCUUCAACGAGGAAUACCUAGUAAGCGUGAGUCAUCAGCUCGCGUUGAUUACGUCCCUGCCCUUUGUACACACCGCCCGUCGCUACUACCGAUUGAAUGGCUUAGUGAGGUCUUGGGAUUGGCUUCGAGGAACCGGCAACGGUACUUUGUUGCUGAGAACUUGAUCAAACUUGGUCAUUUAGAGGAAGUAAAAGUCGUAACA
rnacentral:rRNA from 1 species